GAUGGACGUACCGCUGGUGCAUCAGUUGUUCCGCCAGGAGCAUGGCUGAGUAGCUACGUACGGACGGGAUAAGCGCUGAAAGCAUCUAAGCGUGAAGCCCCCCUCAAGAUGAGAUUUCCCAAUUAGUAAGACCCCUUGAAGACGACGAGGUAGAUAGGUUGGAGGUGGAAGUGCAGCAAUGCAUGGAGCUGACCAAUACUAAUCGGUCGAGGGCUUAUCCAAAUA
rnacentral:rRNA from 1 species